rnacentral:rRNA from 1 species
CAGCCGCCGCGGGAAUACGAAGGGUGCAAGCGUUAAUCGGAAUUACUGGGCGUAAAGCGUGCGUAGGCGGUGAGUUAAGUCUGCUGUGAAAUCCCCGGGCUCAACCUGGGAAGGGCAGUGGAUACUGGCUCGCUAGAGUGUGUCAGAGGAUGGUGGAAUUCCCGGUGUAGCGGUGAAAUGCGUAGAGAUCGGAAGGAACAUCUGUGGCGAAGGCGACUAUCUGGGCCAACACUGACACUGAGGCACGAAAGCGUGGGGAGCAAACAGGAUUAGAUACCCCGGUAGUCCCUGUCUCUUAUAC